rnacentral:lncRNA from 1 species
CUUAUACAGAUUUUUUAAUGCAUACAACCGUCGAGUCAGAAUAUAAUAAAAAUGUAAAUGAAACACCAACUGUAUAUACAAAUAGUAAUGAAAAGGAAACUACAUAUCAUAAUAACAUGUGCUAUAACAAUAUCAAUAACGGUAGUAUAAGUAGAAGUAUAAGCAUAAAGGGUAGUAGUAACAAAAACAAAAGCGAUAGUACCAAUUUGAACACAAAAUCAAAUGAAAUAAUUGAUUUAAAAACACAAAACAUGUGUGUAUUGAAUCCACAAAAUACAGUAUCAAAUUAUAUAGUUGAUGGUAAUAUUAAAAAUAACUACGACUGUCAAAAUAAAGCUGUAGAUGGACCAACUGAGUUUUUAAACUUGAAUGAUAACCAAUAUUUUUACAUUUAUGACGAGAAUUAUGAUAAUGCUGCUACUGCAGUUGAUGAACAUGCUAGUGCUACCUCUACUACUACUGGUGCAGCCGAUGUUACUUCUAUUAACAAUUGUUUAAACAAAUUUAAUGUCAGCACAAAUGACGGUGUUAAUAAUAACGCAUAUAGUAACAGCGCAUAUAGUAACAGCGCAUACAGUAACAACGCUUAUCAUAACGAUGAUUAUAUUGUUAUGAAUCCAAGUAGUUAUGAAAAUAAUUUUUAUGUAAUUCACAAUUAUGCUGAUGGUGAUGUAAAUCAGAUUGGCGAGCAUACUAACGACACGAGUGCAGACUAUAGAAGUGCAAACAUGAACCUAAUCGGACUGGAAGCAGGAGCAGAAAAGGGAAUAGAAACGGAAAAAGAAACAGAAAUAGAAACAGAAGCAGAAGCAGAAACAGAAAAAGAAACAGAAACAGAAACAGAAAAAGAAAAAGAAACAGAAACAGAAACAGAAAAAAGGAAAGAAACAGAAAUAGAAACAGAAACAGGAGCAAAACUAGAAAUAGAAACAGAAAAGGAAACAGAAAAAGAAACAGAAACAACAGAUAUUAUAGAAGCAAAUGAAAAUAUGAAUGACCAGAAUAGUAACAGUAGUAAAAAUAAAGGCAUAAUACAUCUAAAUGAAGCAAACGACGGAACAAAUGCAAGUAAAACUAUAAGAAACAUAACAAAUGCAAUUAACUAUCAAAUUAUAGAAGAUGAUAUGAAUGUAAAUAAAAAUGUAGAUAUGUUUGUAUUACAAAAAACAUUACAUAAUCAUGAUCAUAUAGCUAACUUUAGUAAUUAUAUGAAUGAUUCGAAUAACACAUUUUAUGGUGGUACAACUUUUAUUGAUACAUAUAAUAAUAGAUGUGCUAAUACGCGUGAAGGCAUAAUAAAUAAUUACAGUAUAAAUAUUGACACUUAUAAUAAUAAUAGUUACCUUCCACACAAAACAAUUUUAAAUAUCGAUAGUUAUAACAAUAAUCUAGCACUGUCCAAUUCGCUACCAAUAAAUCAGCACGGUAGUUAUAAAAGAAACAGAAGCGACGACAGUAAUAAAAGCGAGGACAGUAAUAAAAGCGAGGACAGUAAUAAAAGCGACAACAGUAUUGGAAGCGAGAACAAUAACAUAAGUGAUAUUAAUAGAUAUGAAUAUAAAGAUAACAUACAAACGUAUAAUAAACAAUCACACAAUAUAGUUGCUUAUCAUCAUCAUCAUCAUCAUCAUCAUCCAGUAGACAACUAUAUAAACACAAAUGAUACACUCUACAACGAAAUUGAAGACUAUGAUAAAAUAUUUUAUAAAAAUAUAAAAACAAGUAGUAUUAGUAGUAGUAGUAGUAGUGGUAGUUGUAGUGGUAGUUGUAGUGGUAACAGGUAUAUGCUUAAUGAAACUAUAAACGUCACUAAUAGAACUGAUUCAAAUAAUAUUUAUAAUGAACAAAUAAGUAGUUGCAAUAGUAGUAGCGACGGCAACAACAAUAAUAAUAAUAAAAUUUUAAAAAAUUGUAAUAUAACAAUAAACGGUAUGCAAGUUAACGGUAUGCAAGUUAACGGUAUGCAAGUUAACGGUAUGCAAGUUAACGGUAUGCAAAUAAAUAGUAUGGCAAUAAAGAAUAACAUACAAAAUCGUAACAUAUCGAAUACUAGUAUGCCUGUUAGUAGUAUUCCUGUUAGUAGUGUGCCUGUUAGUAGUGUGCCUGCUAGUAGUAUUCCUGUAAAUAGCAUGGCCGUAAACAAUAUGGGCGUAAAUAACAUUCAAGUAAAUAAUAUUUGCAAUAACAAAAUAAUAACACAACCAACAUUUCUGCAAAAUAAUAUCAUGAUGAUAUCGACACAUACAUGUAAUACAAAUGUGUUAUUAAAUUCAAUGAAUAUACCCAUGAACAUACCAAUGGGUAAUCCUAUGAUUAGUUCUACGGGUAGCCAUGUAAACAAGCGUAGUUUAUUAUUUGAUUAUGCGUUGAUGCAAAAUUUUAAUAAAAAAUAUAAAGUAUGCUCAAACACAAGUAAUGCUAGUAGUAUUAGUAGUAAUACUAGUAAUUGUAGUGACCACAAAUUAACAAAAAGUUUAAAUAACUUUGACACAAUGCCUAUUACAAACCAUGUAUUGGAAUAUAUAAAAGAUGUUAAAUAUGAAUCUGCUUAUAUAGAUAAUAGUUGUGAAAACAAAAACUGCAUUACAAAUGACAUAUACGACAUUACAAAUAGUUCUUUUUCCAAUGAAAAUACUGAUAGGUAUAAUAUGAAUAUGUUAACAAUAACCGAAACUAACAACAGUAAUAAAGAAAAUAAUAAUAACAACAAAAAUAGUAAUAACAACAAAAAUAGUAAUAACAACAAAAAUAGUAAUAACAACAUUAAUAACAACAUUAAUAACAACAUUAAUAACGAAGACAAUAGUAGUAGCAUUACUAAAAGAACCCGAGUAAACGGUUACAGAAAAAAAACAUCUAAUGGAAAUUAUGGAACGUCAUCAAAAAUGAAUAAAAAAAAUGUAAAAUAUAAAAGCUUUGGUGGUACAGUUAAAAAAAGUGGUAUAUUAUAUAACUUAGAAGUGGAGUCAGCAAAAAUUAAAAACACACCUUUAUGUAUUUAUUCCCUACAAGAUAUAUUUAAUCAUGAUAGAUCUAAUAAAAAAAAUUAUAGAUACAUAGAUGGCCCAUAUGGUACUGUUGAAUGUGAAUGUAAAUUCCAUCAUAAUAUAAAUUGUUUAAAUGAUUAUAUAAUGUUUUUGCUUGAUAAGAAAAAUAAAGCAUUAAAAAAAAAAAAACAAAAAAAAUUAGUAAAAAUAAAAAGUCGAUUAUUGAUGGUGGUUCUGCCGCUUUUGGUGGUUCUACCGCUUUUGGUGGUUCUGCUGCUUUGGGUGGUUCUGCUGCUUUUGGUGGUUCUGCUGCUUUGGGUGGUUCUGCCGCUUUUGGUGGUUCUGCUGCUUUUGGUGGUUCUGCUGCUUUUGGUGGUUCUGCUGCUUUUGGUGGUUCUGCUUCUGUUACUACUGGCGAAGUGGAUAUAAAAAAUAAUAAUAAUAAUAAUAAUAAUAAUAAUAAUAAUAAUAAUAGUAACAGUAAUAGUAACAGUAACAGUAAUAGUAACAGUAAUAGUAACAGUAAUAGUAACAGUAANNNNNNNNNNCAGUAAUAGUAACAGUAAUAGUAACAGUAAUAGUAACAGUAAUAGUAGCAGUAAUAGUAGCAGUAAUAAUAAUAGUACUGGUAGUAAUGACAAUAAUAACUCGGAUAUGUAUAAAGAAAUCGAAAAUAGAGACUAUGAUAGCGACUGUAGUAGCGACUGUAGUAGUGACUGUAGCAGUAACAGCAGUAGUGAUUGUAGUAGCGACUGUAGUAGCGAUAGUUCUGUUGAAAGUGAAAAAAAAAAACAAAAAUAUGACAUUAGCCAGUGUGAUAAUAUAGUAUAUAAUAUAAAAAAAAUCUGGACACCAACAUUUAAUCGACCUUUAGGUGAUAUUGGAAGAAAACUCAUACUUAAAGAAAUUAGAGAACAUCAUCAUAAAAAUGCAGACAAAACUACAAAAAUAUUAAAAAAGCAAGGGUUGGAUUAUGGAAAAGUACGUUUUAUGAGAGUAAAUGAAUUGUACCAUUAUAUGUAUGCUUUAAAUGUGUUUGAUUAUGCUUUGAAAAUAUCGUUAGAAUUCGGAUCUAAUAUCAGGAUGAGUGCUACAAAAACUGUAGAAGAUUAUCCAAAUUUAUGUAUAAACUUAAAAAGUGGCUAUUCAUAUUGUUUGUUAUGCCAUUCCCAACGUCCUAACCUAUAUGGACUCUAUUCAACAUUUAAUUUGUUAAGUUAUAAAACAUUACUUGAAAAAUAUGGUAAAAAUUUCAAAGAGUUUGUAACAAAAUUUAAUUUAAAAAGCGUUGAACAUAAUAAUAUGACUAAUCACUUGAAAGUGGAGGAAGAAGAAGAAGAAGAAGAAGAAGAAGAGACUCUUGAAUAUGAUGAAUCUAUGUCUGGUAAUGAUUAUGAAAAUGACACAACCACUACUGCCAGUACUACUG